rnacentral:misc_RNA from 1 species
CUGUUUCGAUGCUCUUAGCGCUAAGCUCGUGGAGAGACGGGAUUCAAUUACUGCUUCACUAGUGGAUUUCAAUAUCAGCUGCUAGAUUGGCAUUGCCUGAUACUGGCUUUAUUUCCUAUGGGGAAAUGGUGGAUCAGGGGCAACUAAUCACUCAAGCUGUAUCAAUCCCUGUCAUUGUGAUAAUGGCUAUGGAAAUGCAAUGGUUGUCAAAAGAACUGUCAUGGGAUAUAUAAAGCUGGCUUUGCAGGAAUCAUUCUUGAAAUCAGGCAGUAUCAUUGGA